GUGCUCGCUUCGGCAGCAAAUAUACUAAAAUUGGAAUGAUACAGAGAAGAUUAGCAUGACCCCUGUGCAAGGAUGACAUGCAUUUGUGAAGUGAUCCAUAUUUAA